UGGGCGUAAAGAGCUCGUAGGUGGUUUGUCGCGUUGUUCGUGAAAUCUCACGGCUUAACUGUGAGCGUGCGGGCGAUACGGGCAGACUUGAGUACUGCAGGGGAGACUGGAAUUCCUGGUGUAGCGGUGGAAUGCGCAGAUAUCAGGAGGAACACCGGUGGCGAAGGCGGGUCUCUGGGCAGUAACUGACGCUGAGGAGCGAAAGCGUGGGGAGCGAACAGGAUUAGAUACCCUGGUAGUCCACGCCGUAAACGGUGGGUACUAGGUGUGGGUUUCCUUCCUUGGGAUCCGUGCCGUAGCUAACGCAUUAAGUACCCCGCCUGGGGAGUACGGCCGCAAGGCUAAAACUCAAAGAAAUUGACGGGGGCCCGCACAAGCGGCGGAGCAUGUGGAUUAAUUCGAUGCAACGCGAAGAACCUUACCUGGGUUUGACAUGCACAGGACGCCGGCAGAGAUGUCGGUUCCCUUGUGGCCUGUGUGCAGGUGGUGCAUGGCUGUCGUCAGCUCGUGUCGUGAGAUGUUGGGUUAAGUCCCGCAACGAGCGCAACCCUUGUCUCAUGUUGCCAGCGGGUAAUGCCGGGGACUCGUGAGAGACUGCCGGGGUCAACUCGGAGGAAGGUGGGGAUGACGUCAAGUCAUCAUGCCCCUUAUGUCCAGGGCUUCACACAUGCUACAAUGGCCGGUACAAAGGGCUGCGAUGCCGCGAGGUUAAGCGAAUCCUUUUAAAGCCGGUCUCAGUUCGGAUCGGGGUCUGCAACUCGACCCCGUGAAGUCGGAGUCGCUAGUAAUC
rnacentral:rRNA from 1 species